UUGAUGUGGAAAUUCUUAAUGUAGGUGCAUUUAUGGAUCUUUUUAUAGUUGAUAUCCCUUCUCCCCUCACUGUCUCCCUUGGUUAAGCAUGCUUUCCCUAUCCCAAGUUCAUGAAGAUAUUCUCCCAUAUCUCCCGUAUUGUCUCCUUCAAGUUUUGUAGCUUUCUUUGGAGAGAGAUGCCACAGCUUUCGUCAGACUCUCAAACCAAUCUGAGAAGCUGUGACUGACCUACAGCAUUUUUGUAUUGUUUCUCCAAAGAGCAGGGAAUACAAAAUUCCAGGCCCUUGGCUAAUCACCAAAAAGAGCAGUAGGCAUUUAAUAGAAUCUAAUAAUAUUUAAAAAUAUUGCUCUGUGUUGAUUUCUUGAUGGUAAACUCUGGGAGGACUGAUACAACUUCUCUGUUGUGUUUUGAGUAAAAUAACUCAUAUUAUUAGUAUAAGGGCACAGAAUAAAAUUUGUGGUGGUCACUGAGAGCCAGGUGCUUUUUAUAUGUUAUCCCCUGUGAAGUAGGUAUUAUUUUCUCCCUGUCAUAGGUGAAAAGAUUGGGACUCAGAAUAUUUAACUUGCCCAACGUCUCUCAGCUAACAAGUGGCAGAAUGGGACCUUGAAUCCAGGUCUUUUUGACCAGGAAGUUGAUGUUUUUCCUAAGAUAGCCUACUGGUUGCUAAUAAAAGUCAGUUGCUACUAAUACUCCACAUCUGUAUACCUGUAUGUUGCUUGUCAUAUUUUAGAAAUACUAUACAUUUAUCUGGUAUUUUUCUGCCUAGGAAUGGCUUUCAGAGCCUCAUUUAACUUGACUCGUAAAACAACCUGAGUAGAAAGAGGGUAUGUUUUAUUACUCCCAUUUUAAAGAUGAGUAAAUUGAGACUCAGAAAUGUUAGAGACUUAAUCUAAAAUAACACAACUAGGUAUAGCUGCACCUCAAUUAUCUCUAUUGUGUGUUUUAUGUCAUAAACUAUAGUUUCUCUGAGUUGAUUCAUAUUACAUGCUAGGUCAUAUGGCCCAGAGUUUGCAGUUCUAAUGUUAAUUAGUUUUGAAAACUGUAUUGUUGUUCUGGGCCACCAUCUUGUUUUUGUUACUAGAAUUCCAAAGUCAUCUAAUUUAUUUUGAGUUAUUUUAAGUUCCAUGGAAACUAUGGAUAUAUUUACACAUUGUUUAAAGACCCUGCACCCACCAGGUUCUUUAAGAAGAGCUGUCUAGUUAUCACCAGUAACAUAAUGUAUGCCAAAUGGUGUAGAAAAUAAAAGGAAUACAAAGAGAUAUGUAAAUAGGCUCUCUGCUUUUAAAGAACAUGUCAUUAAAGUAGGGACAGUAAUAUUACUACCCUUUAAAGAAGGUAAAUAAGAAUGUAAAGUGAUUGCUACAAGGUGACUGUCAAAUGGAGUUUAGCAUAAGUGAACCAGACUGUCUUGGUUCAUUUCUCAGCUCACCUCUUACUUGAACAAGUUACUUAACCUCUCUGUGCUCCCAUUCUUUAUUUGUAAAAUGGAAGUAUUAAUAAAAUCUACUGCAUGGGGUUUGAGGAUUAAAUGAGUUAGUGUAUGUGAUACCCUCAGAACAUGGCUAGACACAUAGUGAAUACCUAUAAAGUUAUUAGCAUUUAUUUUUUGUUAUUGUUAAAAUAGCUGAUAGUGAGACUACAUUUUUCUUCAUUUGGAAAUAAUUAAGGGGUUUAAAGUUGGCGAAGAAAAAGGAGGUAAGCCUGCAUCUUCACCAUUUCAUCGUCAAAUGUAGUUGCUUUGCUUUGGAAUUCAUACAUCUCUGGGAAAUACAUCAAUCCUACAGGAACCCUUAAGACUGAGACAGGUUUCAUUUGGCAUUCCUUGUGCCAUACAAACUAUUUUAACGUGGCUUGUUUACUUUCUCUCCAUCAUCACACAUGGAAAGCUCAUUCUUUCAGCAAAUCAGAGUUUCUUCAGGCUCUCCAAAUAUCUUCAUUGGAACUAUCUUUGCACCCUGCUUAUUGGAGAAUGUAAAUUCAAUUCCUCCACCCUAUUUCUGUCCUGAAUAUCUGAUAUGUGCUGAUAUCUGGCACAUAAUUUCAUUUCAUAAUUAGAAGGGACAAUGUGGAUAAAGUGAAGAUUCCUAUGGCCAGGAUUCUCAUCUGCCCUGAUCGGCUACCUCAUUACACACGUGUGGGCAAUGCGUUGUUAUUGACUCCAUAUAAAGAGCUCUGCCCAGUGCUCUGGGGGACACAGUGGCACGGCUUCAAGGCUACACUACAGGAGAGCAGAAAUGAGACUGGAGUGGUGGCAGCGCCGAGGACUGAGACUGAGACAGCUGCAAGGAUAGAGGCCAGAGGCAAGGACUGGCUUGCUGCAUGCAGACUCCCUCUGAGUGGACGGGAUUCUAGUGAUUGACUUGCCACUGUGGAAAUAAAGUUGGUUAUAAAUCCUUUUACCCCAA